rnacentral:lncRNA from 1 species
AUGGAGGCGUGGGCGGGCUGGGCCGGAGCAGAGGUGACCCCUGUGUCCCCUGCAGACUCUCCAUCCAUUCCCGGAGUCUGUGGUCACAGCUUGGGUAAUGCACUUGGCUGGAGCCCGGGUUUCCCUGCAGGUGGGGGCGGGGAGAGCUGGCAAAAGGGACAAUGGCCCUUGGGGCAGGAACCCUCACCGGGACAGAGCGCACAACCCUUUUCCUACAGGUACAUCGAACUUGCACCCACUCCCGCAAACAUGUAUGCACAGGCACAAUCACACACACGCCCCCAAAUGCCCAGUCACACAGCCACGCCAGCCUUCGUUCUCACCCCUUCGCCGGGCUCUCCCUUUUCCGCACACACGCACUCAAGCAUAUAUGUGUAUAUAUAUAUAUACACACACACACACACACGCAGACAUCUUCGCUUAGUAAUUCAACAAAGACUGAACAUUAUCAGGUGUCAGUGCAUUGCAGGGAGGAAAGGUGGCUCUCAGCUCAGGGUGGGGCAGGGGCUUCCUGGAGGGCUUCCUGGAGGGCUUCCUGGAGGAGGAGGCAUUGCCGCUGGGCCUGGACGGUGGGGAGCCCGGGAAAGGGAAGCCUGGGCAGUCUUCCCUGGGGGGGGUGACUCUAGGGGAGCAGAGCUCAAUGAGGUGGGUGCGGUCGGCCCAAUCACACAGGCCUUGAACACCCCGCCAAACGCUGACUUCAUCCUGUGGGAGUGGGGAGCCACGGAGGGCUCUGAGCAGGGGGUCAGGCCCGCAGCGGGAGAGGACAGGAAAGUCACUGCGGGGCCAGAGCGGGAGAGCCAGGGCGGAAGCUGUGGUGAGAACCAGGACCCUCUCAGAUGCCACCACCUCCUGCCCACGAGUCUCGGUGCAGCACGGGGCCAUCGGGAUCUCGGUCAGCGUGCCUGGGCCACCUGCACCCUCCAUACGCCCCUCCUCCGGGGACCGGGGGGGGGACUGGGGGCUCCGGACAGCACCCCUGCGAUGGACAGGGCUCUGAGCUGAAGGGAGUAUCUCCGGGACUCCUCCGCUCACACAUCCACCCCUCAAGCCACUGGAUCCUCCCGCCCCAUUCCCUGAACAGCCACCAUCUCUGACUUUGGGUCCGGUUCUCUCACUGGCUUGGGGGGCGGGGCGGGGCGGGGAGGGGAGGCCCCCCCCAGUUGACCGCAUGCAGCUC